rnacentral:rRNA from 1 species
AAGGCUCAGUAACACGUCGGUAACCUACCCUCGGGAGGGGGAUAACCCCGGGAAACUGGGGCUAAUCCCCCAUAGGCCUGAGGUACUGGAAGGUCCUCAGGCCGAAAGGGGCUUUGCCCGCCCGAGGAUGGGCCGGCGGCCGAUUAGGUAGUUGGUGGGGUAACGGCCCACCAAGCCGAAGAUCGGUACGGGCCAUGAGAGUGGGAGCCCGGAGAUGGACACUGAGACACGGGUCCAGGCCCUACGGGGCGCAGCAGGCGCGAAACCUCCGCAAUGCGGGAAACCGCGACGGGGGGACCCCCAGUGCCGUGGCAUCGCCACGGCUUUUCCGGAGUGUAAAGAGCUCCGGGAAUAAGGGCUGGGCAAGGCCGGUGGCAGCCGCCGCGGUAAUACCGGCGGCCCGAGUGGUGGCCGCUAUUAUUGGGCCUAAAGCGUCCGUAGCCGGGCCCGUAAGUCCCUGGCGAAAUCCCACGGCUCAACCGUGGGGCUUGCUGGGGAUACUGCGGGCCUUGGGACCGGGAGAGGCGGAGGGUACUCCUGGGGUAGGGGUGAAAUCCUAUAAUCCCAGGAGGACCGCCAGUGGCGAAGGCGCUCCGCUGGAACGGGUCCGACGGUGAGGGACGAAGGCCAGGGGAGCGAACCGGAUUAGAUACCCGGGUAGUCCUGGCUGUAAAGGAUGCGGGCUAGGUGUCGGGCGAGCUUCGAGCUCGCCCGGUGCCGAAGGGAAGCCGUUAAGCCCGCCGCCUGGGGAGUACGGCCGCAAGGCUGAAACUUAAAGGAAUUGGCGGGGGAGCAC